GAAGACCAAGGGUUCCUGUCCAACGUUAAUCGGGGCAGGGUAAGUCGACCCCUAAGGCGAGGCCGAAAGGCGUAGUCGAUGGGAAACGGGUUAAUAUUCCCGUACUUCUUACAAUUGCGAUGGGGGGGACGGAGAAGGCUAGGUGGGCCUGGCGACGGUUGUCCAGGUUCAAGUGCGUAGGCUUAAGAGUUAGGUAAAUCCGGCUCUUUUUAAGGCUGAGACACGACGUCGAGCAUCUACGGGUGUGAAGUCAUUGAUGCCAUGCUUCCAGGAAAAGCCUCUAAGCUUCAGAUUGUAAGGAAUCGUACCCCAAACCGACACAGGUGGUCGGGUAGAGAAUACCAAGGCGCUUGAGAGAACUCGGGUGAAGGAACUAGGCAAAAUGGUACCGUAACUUCGGGAGAAGGUACGCUCUUGAUGGUGAAGUCCCUUGCGGAUGGAG
rnacentral:rRNA from 1 species